AUUGAACGCUGGCGGCAGGCCUAACACAUGCAAGUCGAGCGGAUGAAGGGAGCUUGCUCCUGGAUUCAGCGGCGGACGGGUGAGUAAUGCCUAGGAAUCUGCCUGGUAUUGGGGGAUAACGUCCUGAAACGGGCGCUAAUACCGCAUACGUCCUGAGGGAGAAAGUGGGGGAUCUUCGGACCUCACGCUAUCAGAUGAGCCUAGGUCGGAUUAGCUAGUUGGUGGGGUAAAGGCCUACCAAGGCGACGAUCCGUAACUGGUCUGAGAGGAUGAUCAGUCACACUGGAACUGAGACACGGUCCAGACUACUACGGGAGGCAGCAGUGGGGAAUAUUAGACAGUGGUCGAAAGCCUGAUCCAGCCAUGCCGCGUGUGUGAAGAAGGUCUUCGGAUUGUAAAGCACUUUAAGUUGGGAGGAAGGGCAGUAAGUUAAUACCUUGCUGUUUUGACGUUACCAACAGAAUAAGCACCGGCUAACUUCGUG
rnacentral:rRNA from 1 species